rnacentral:rRNA from 1 species
GAUGAACGCUGGCGGCGUGCUUAACACAUGCAAGUCGAGCGAGUGAGUUCUUCGGAACGAUCUAGCGGCGGACGGGUGAGUAACACGUGGGCAACCUGCCUCAUAGAGGGGAAUAGCCUCCCGAAAGGGAGAUUAAUACCGCAUAAAAUUAUCGAGUGGCAUCACAUGAUAAUCAAAGGAGUAAUCCGCUAUGAGAUGGGCCCGCGGCGCAUUAGCUAGUUGGUGAGGUAACGGCUCACCAAGGCGACGAUGCGUAGCCGACCUGAGAGGGUGAUCGGCCACAUUGGGACUGAGACACGGCCCAGACUCCUACGGGAGGCAGCAGUGGGGAAUAUUGCACAAUGGGGGAAACCCUGAUGCAGCAACGCCGCGUGAGUGAUGAAGGUCUUCGGAUUGUAAAGCUCUGUCUUUGGGGACGAUAAUGACGGUACCCAAGGAGGAAGCCACGGCUAACUACGUGCCAGCCGCAGUAACAC